rnacentral:guide_RNA from 1 species
UAACUAAUCAACAGCUAAGAGAACGUCAAUGAGAUUAUGUGA